AUGGACUUUUUCAGUGGAGGAAGCAUGAUGAUGUUUUUAUCAGCUGUUUGGACUCUCAUUCUGAUGGCACCGAUUCACUGCAGAGGAUCCAUUGGUGAUGUAAUGUUCAAUUUCUCCAAAUCUGUUCCUCUUCUACAUCUUGGAUGGCCUGGAGUUCAAUGCAGGAUUUUCAGAAAUAUUGAAACGAAAACACGAUUCUGUGCGACUAUAUUGGAUCCGACAGUAAUGUUGCACCACAAGUGUGAGUACCUUUUUUUUUAUUACAUGCACACUAUAACUCUGUUAUUACAGAUAGUUUGAAAUGUAAUGAGUAUUUAUGAGUUUUUAACCUAAAUUGCAGCAGCGUCCAUCUAUGAGGGCUGUAUGUUGGCCAUACAACUGUUAGCCAAUCAUAGCAGUGGGCAUUUACUUCUGAGUCGACAAUCAGCCACACCUGUUCCAACAGAGCGUUCCCAUGAGGGGGUCAAAACCGGACUGAAUAUAGCCUAUUACUGCUAAAUUGUUUUUAAUGUAAAAAUCUUGAUAAUUGGACCAUAGAAAACAGUACAAAAUAAAAAAAAGAAGGCAUUCCAUGAGCCCUUUAAAUCUCUUUGAUUUGUGUUCCUUGUUCAAAGAUUACAAGCUCGACCUUCAGCUGAAUCCCAUUUUUCAUGGGUCCGGCGUCUAUCAUAGGCUGUGCUGAGUGUGAUAGCUUUAAACAGAAAGCCUCUGCAACAGCAGCCAAUGCGAUCAAUACAGCUACGGUAUAUGAGGUGAACUGAAGGAAGAUCAAUGAUGAACAAUGUGUUAAAGACAGUAGCACAGUAAAGGCUCUAUGUUGCAUUAAUGUUGUAUUUGAUAAUGUUGGUUUCAUUUUAUUUUAUACAAAUAAUAUUUACCCACAGUAAGGAACGGAACAGCAUAAAAAUAAUCUUAUAAUAAAUGAUAAAUAUAUAUUCUACACUGUACUAGAUGUGUAAAUGCAUUAAUGCAUGCCGUAUGAAGUUAAAUCAAUGUUUGUAUGACUGAAAAAAUGCGGUUAGGCAAAAAAAAAAAAAAAAAAAAACUUUCUGUGAGGACAUGUUUAUGUGUAUACAAUUUCCACAAACUCUUACAUUUUAAUCACUCUUCUUAUCAGUAUUUCCCUUGCAUAAUGAGCAGACAAAGAAUUUUUCAUUUCCCACAAAUCAAUAUGGCAUAAUCCGGAAUGUGCAAUAGCAGUGAAGAAACUGAAUUUUGGGCUUUCUUGCACUCUUUUCAUAAAAAAACAACUUGGAAAAGCAAGUGUACUUGCAAAACACUAAUUAUAUGCUUGUUGCCAAGCAGCAAAAUGUUUUUUUUGUUUUUUUUUUCUCAGUGAAAAGUGUGAAGCUAAUUACAAUGAUUUAUUACAGCGAUUGAUAAGCUAUGACACAAAAGGCACUACACAUGUCUGAUUAUUUGCAAAAAUUCAUGCCUAUAGGUAGAAUUCACCACAGAAAGGUUUUCAUAUGGUAUCAGGUUAUUAAGUUACAACAAAUACUAAGGCACAUAUUGAAUUGCUGCACUGAUUUUUAGAAAUAAAAAUUUAGGCAGCUUAUUUACAGAUUCCAAAAUGCAACUAGGAAUUUAUUUAUGUAUUUAUUUAUCUAUAAGACAUAUUGUAAGUUGUUUUAAAGCAAGUAAGAAAUAGAAGGGAGACAUAUCACUCAGACACAAAUAAAUGAGAGGAAAUUGGGGAUUACUUGGUAUAUUUAGUAGGAAUACUUAAUAUUACAGAAAUCCUCUUCCUUAAAGUUAGUUAAUGUUGUAAUAUAUGAUCAUGGGAGCUUAUAAUGAAGCUGUCUCCUCCACUUCUUCGUGUCUCGUCUCGUGUAUCAGAUCAUGGUGUUCUGACAGAGGAGACUCCCUCCACUCUUGUGAGCUUCUGUAGGGCUCAAAUCUCAAACACACCCUAGCAUUUUACUGCUACGUAAUCAUUUACUGUGCAGUAGGGCAGUACAUGGUGCUCUGUCUUUGCUGAGACAACAAUUUGAAAUAUUGCUCACAUUUUGUUCUUUGAUCUACAGCUCUAGAGAAUAGGCAGGGUCAAUGAUAUAAUUUAUAUUCAAGCAAUGUUAACAAUAAGCUGAAAUUGUAUUUUUCACAUUUAGGCUAAAGGUUUUACAACUUUC
ensembl:lncRNA